UUGGGCAGAGAUUCCCCAGCCUGACCCAGGGAAAACAGAGCCAUCACCUGCUUUCAAGGGACUAAAGGGCCUUGAAACGCCACCAAAGGGCCCUUUGGCAGUGGACCCAGGUCCAGAGGGCCCUCUCCAAAUGUCCAGGUUCUUCUCUCCAAGGCCCGGGGUUGGGAGCCUCAGUCAUGAGCGAGAUCUAAUUUCUUCCUGCGCUACGGGUAAAUUUCAAUGCAAGGAACAUGGCCUAACCCCUAGGAUCUCUCCAAGGAAAUGAGCUCGGGCUCAUUGUCAUGAUGUCCUGGAAGGUACCCAGAGAACUCCACGGGGAGUGCCUUGAGCCCAACUAGAACCACGUCCCUUAACCAGCAGCAUUCAAGCUAUAGGUAACCAGUACAGCUACGUCAGAAUCUCAGAUUGCUGGGCCCAUUAUAAAUAAAGGCAUGUGCCACGCCAGAAUUUUCAAUUCAUCACCGCCACCACCCACUGUUGAGAGUGUUUCUAGAUUCCAGUGCCAGAAGCAAAGAUACUGGGAUGAAAAAAUGACCAUGGUUCAUGAAAAAAUAGGCUGCAAGAAAAGUGGGACCAGAAACUUUAAAAACUUUACCACUGGCAAGAUAUUCCUCUUCUUACCCACAUCAGGUAUCUUUUGUGUGUGCGUUUGGAUGAUCAGACUAUUAUUUUUGUCUGUGGAACAUUCAGUCCGCCUUCUUUUGGUAACAGCACAUCAAUUUUCCUUGGAAAACUCACCUCUAUUCCAUUGUUAAUUCAAGUGGUACAGGUGGGGCCCACCUCACCCCUGCCUGCCUGAAGAAGGAGCGCAUGACUAGGUCUAGCCAAUCAGAGCGUUCCAUCUUUCUUCCCACACUGACUGGUUUUAGGAAGGACAUGUAAGUCAAGCUGAGAUGGUUAGACUCUCUUGAUUGAAUAUAAAGCUGAACGUGUCAGCAGCCAUCACAAGGGAGAGUCUGUCUACAGAUGAAGUCAACACCUAAAGACCUAGCCAAGAAAUAGAGCUGGAUUCCUAUAAUAAUGCCUGGGUAUCUGGGUCAAGCCAUGCCUGAUGCCAAUAUCUCCAUAGACUUGUAAGUUACAUGAGUCAAUAAUUUCCCAUUUUUGCUUGAGUUAUUUUGAAUAGAUUUGUUACUUGUAACCAAGAGUUUUAACGAAUACCCUCAUCCUGCUUUGCUGCUCCAAUACACACACAAACACACACACACACACACACGCACACACACGCACACACACACAAAGCUGUGUAACUUGACAAAGAAUGUUGCUGAUACAAAUUGAACUUUUCCUGAUUAUUAAAAGCAGCAAUAGCCUUGGGCUAUAAGUUAUGGUAAACUUGGUUCUAGAAAGGCCAUUCUCUUAUAUCUAAGAUGGACAGAUAAUGGAAUCUAGAAUUUGGGUUGUUUUGUUUAAGAAGAUGAACUUCUUCCCAUCUUUCUCCUAUGUUUUCUCCUAUGAAAGAAAUAACUGGCAUAAAUAUAUCUCAUUAGCUCCUUCCUUCCUUCCUCCCUCCUUUCCUCAAAUAUUUGAUUAAACAUACCAAUAAUGUUGAAUGAAAUAAGAAAGCCCCAGAAGACUACAUGCAGCCUAAUAUCCUUUUUAAAAUCAACUUUAUUUGGAUAAAAUUUACAUACAAUGAGCUGUAUCCAUUUAAAGUAUACAAUUUGAUGGAAUUUUUGAUAUGUAUACACAUCUGUGAUGAUGAAACAUGACCACAAUCAAGACACCAAACAUCUCCAUCACCCACCCCCAAUAUUCCUUGUACCCUUUGCAGUAUGCCCUUCCCUCUACACCCAACAGUGGUUGUAAGCAACCACUGAUGAUCUUUUUGUCAAAUUAGAUUAGUUUGUGUUUUCUAGAAUUUCACACAAAUGGAAUCAUACUUUACAUACUAUUUUGUGUCUGGCUUCUUUCAUUCAGUAUAACAUUUUGAGCUUCAUCCAUAUUAUUGCAUGAUUCAGUAGUUCACUCCUUUUUCACUGCUGAGUAGUAUUCCAAUGUAUGGUUAUAUCAUACUUGUUUAUCCAUUCACCUGUUGAUGGACAUAUGGGCUAUUUCCUGGGUUUUGUUAUUAUGGAUAAAGUUUCUAUGAAUGCUUGUGUACAAAUCUUUACUUGGACAUAUAUUUUCAUUUGUUUUGGUAAACAUCUAGGAACAGAAUGGCCAGGUUGUAUGGUAGGUGUGGGUUAACUUUUUAAGUAACAGCCAAAAGUUUUCCAAAGAUGUUGUACCAUUUUAUGUUCACACCUGCUGUGUGUAAGAGUUCUAUUUGUUGCUCCAUACUUGUAACUCUUGGUAUUGUUAGAAAUUUUAGUCACUCUACACAGUGCAUUGUGGUAUCUCACUGUGGUUUUAGUUUGCAUGUCCACCAUGAUUAAUCAUGGUGAAUAUCUUCCUGUA